rnacentral:rRNA from 1 species
GGUCAAUGGGCGAGAGCCUGAACCAGCCAAGUCGCGUGAAGGAAGAAUGUCCUAUGGAUUGUAAACUUCUUUUGUAAGGGAAUAAAAAAGGCUACGUGUACCCUAUUGUAUGUACUUUACGAAUAAGGAUCGGCUAACUCCGUGCC